CCUACGGGUGGCAGCAGUGGGGAAUAUUUGGCAAUGGGCGCAAGCCUGACCCAGCAACGCCGCGUGAAGGAAGAAGGCUUUCGGGUUGUACACUUCUUUUCUCAGGGACGAAGCAAGUGACGGUACCUGAGGAAUAAGCCACGGCUAACUACGUUCCUGCAGCCGCGGUAAUACGUAGGUGGCAAGCAUUAUUCGGAUUUACUGGGUGUAAGGGGCGUGUAGGCGGGGACGCAAGUCAGAUGUGAAAACCACGGGCCCAACCUGUUGCCUGCAUUUGAAACUGUGUUUCUUGAGUACUGGAGAGGCAGACGGAAUGCCGAGUGUAGCGGUGAAAUGCGUAGAUAUUAGGAGGAACACCAGUGGCGAAGGCGGUCUGCUGGACAGCAACUGACGCUGAGGCGCGAAAGCGUGGGGAGCAAACAGGAUUAGAUACCCGAGUAGUC
rnacentral:rRNA from 1 species